GUGGGGAAUAUUGGACAAUGGGCGAAAGCCUGAUCCAGCCAUGCCGCGUGUGUGAAGAAGGUCUUCGGAUUGUAAAGCACUUUAAGUUGGGAGGAAGGGCAGUAAGUUAAUACCUUGCUGUUUUGACGUUACCGACAGAAUAAGCACCGGCUAACUUCGUGCCAGCAGCCGCGGUAAUACGAAGGGUGCAAGCGUUAAUCGGAAUUACUGGGCGUACAGCGCGCGUAGGUGGUUUUGUAAGUUGGAGGGGAAAGCCCCGGGCUCAACCUGGGAACUGCCUCAAAAACUGCAUGACUAGAGUACGGUAGAGGGUAGUGGAAUUUCCUGUGUAGCGGUGAAAUGCGUAGAUAUAGGAAGGAACACCAGUGGCGAAGGCGACUACCUGGACUGAUACUGACACUGAGGUGCGAAAGCGUGGGGAGCAAACAGGAUUAGAAACCCUAGUAGUCC
rnacentral:rRNA from 1 species